UACAGAGGGGGCCAGCGUUGUUCGGAAUUACUGGGCGUAAAGGGCGCGUAGGCGGCCCGCUAAGUCGAACGUGAAAUCCCUGGGCUCAACCCAGGAACUGCGUCCGAUACUGGCAGGCUUGAAUCCGGGAGAGGGAUGCGGAAUUCCAGGUGUAGCGGUGAAAUGCGUAGAUAUCAGGAGGAACACCGGUGGCGAAGGCGGCUUUCUGGACAGUAACUGACGCUGAGGCGCGAAAGCUAGGGGAGCAAACAGG
rnacentral:rRNA from 1 species